UCAUCGACAUGGUACACUUUUACCCGAAUCAAUACGUUGUAUAAUUUGUGGACCUUCUGGUGGAGGAAAAACUAACAUAUUAUUGUCUUUAUUGUUUGAUCCCAACGGAUUGAAAUUUGAAAACAUAUAUAUUUAUUGUAAAUCAUUAUAUCAACCGAAAUAUAAACUGCUUAGUGAUGUGCUACAAAAAAUUAAAGGAAUGGAAUAUAACCAGUAUGAACAUAAUGAAGACGUGCUAGAUCCAAAAGAUGCAAAAAAUAACUCCAUUUUUAUAUUUGAUGAUGUCAUAAUGUGUAAUCAAGCUAAGAUAAGGGAUUACUUUUGCAUGGGCCGGCAUAAAAAUAUUGAUAGUUUCUAUCUCUGUCAAACAUAUACAAAAAUACCGAAACAUUUAAUUCGAGAUAAUGCAAAUUUAUUGGUAAUAUUAAAACAAGAUCUGUUAAAUUUAAAACAUGUAUAUGAAGAUCAUGUUGGUGCUGAUAUGAAAUUCGAACAAUUCUGUGAAAUAUGUCAGGAAUGUUGGAAAAACCAAUAUGGUUUUUUGGUUAUAUGUAAAGAUAAUGAAUUAAAUAAGGGUCGAUAUAGAAAAGGGUUUGAUCAUUUUAUUCAAGUGUAGAUUGAUAUCUAUUUGACAACGUUUCCAGACCGGUUAAUAUCGGUCUCAGACCGGUUAGUAUCGGUGUGAUAUCGGUUAAUACCGGUUCCAGAGCGGUUAUUAUCGGAUAGAGACCGGUUAAUAUCGGUUUCAGACCGGUUAAUGUCUGUUAAAAAGCAGUUCCUGAUCGGUUUGAGAUCGGUUAAUAUCAGUUUGAGACCCGUUAUAAUAGCAGUAGAAUAAGAAGUUAUAUAAACAAUAAUUCUGAUUUGUUCGGUUAGUUUAUAACAUUAAGCGGUAAUGAUGGGUACCAAACCAGAUCAAAACCUUAAAAGACAUAUAUUAAAAGCAGCUGAUUCAAUUCGAAAGAAGUAUAAAGCCAUAAAGUUAAACAGCAGUGAAGCGGAUGAGUCAAUUAAAAAACUUUUUCAGCCUGUUAUAAAUCCUUUAGAAGAAAUUUCAAUAAAAUUGGAGAAGCAAUCUCCACCACCACAGCAACAACAACAAAAACAACACAAAAGACCAAAACAUCAUAUUCAAAAGCAAAGGAAACAAUUUCUUAAAUUACCAAAAAAAGAAAAGAUUAAACAAGAACUUGAACUACCAGUUGAAGAAACAUAUGAACCUAGUACAUCACUACGACAACCAGAAGAAAUAUAUGAGUCAAUACCAGAAAUAAAAGAAGAAGAUGAAGAAACCAAAUCUGACACUAUGGAUGAUUUAAUUAAUAGCAGACAUAUUUUAGAUGAAUUUUUAGAACAAUAUCCUCCAGUUGCGAGAAAUGCAAUAGAAGCAGUUUUAGAGAAAACCAGUGAUCAGACAUUUGGUCCUAGAUAUAAUUCAAAAGAGAAUAAACUAUUUAUGGGUAAACAUGAAUUAAUAAUCAGUCAAAAUGGUGAUUUAAUUUUAGAUAAUGAAUCAUUUCCUGGUACUCCUGGUUUAUACAGACUAAUAUUUUUUAAAAACCCUGAAGAUAAAUACACUCAAAUUACAAAAGAGGAUCGGUCAGCAUACAAAAAAAUACUUGAAAUUUCUAAUACACAUAGAAAAAAUAAUGAUCCCACAAAACAACUAAAAGGUCAUAGAGGUGUAAAAUAUACUCAAAUUGUGCAACCAAUGUUUACUUCAUUUCCUAAAUCUCCGUUUAUUGGUGAAGGAUUAUUCACUAAUAAACGUGUAGAAUAUGUUUACUGGGAUGACAUAAAUGAAUUAGUGUCACGUCUAGCAUUAUUACAUGCAGCGACAAAAGCGGGUAACAAUUCCCAUCUGAAUGAAAUUUUAUCAAUAGAAGAAGAAUUAAAGGAAUGUGGUGUAAUAUAUUAGGUUUAAGUUUUUUUCUGGUUAAUCCUCAGUGUUGAAAUGCCCAUUGAUCUAUUCGGACGUAAAGUGUUAUCAGCAUCAAGUGCAUUUUUUAAAUCUACACCAUCACCAUUUGUUUUCACUGCUGAUGGUGACCUUGAUUUAAAACAUCAUAGAAUCUGUAACAUUAAUGAUCCAACAGAAGACAAAGAUUGUGCGAAUAAGGUAUAUAUUGAUUUAGUAAGUAAACAAAUAUACCAAAAGAUGGAAGGAGUAAUAGCUGCUUUAACGGAUUUAAAUAAUAAUGUUCAUAAAGCAGAUGCUAUAUGGAUGGAUAAAUUUAAUCAGUUAAACUUAACCAUGAAUGUUAAGUACAAAAUACUUGAUGGAAAAAUUGAUAAUAUAAUUGCUACAAUUCCUCACACGAUUCAAUCAGAAUUGCAUAACAAACAUUUAAGUAUAAAUUAUGAAAUCGAUAAGAAGUGGAAAAAAUUUAUGAAUAAUUCAAAUGAGAUAACCAAACGAAUAAAAAAACUUGAAGAACGCUUUGAAGGAAUCGAUAGUAUUAAGAUAAUACCAGAAACCAUUUCCAAACGUUCUAAAGCAGGUGAUACAGAUCAACUUGAGAAUGUACCUAUAUCAAAGAAAAGGAAAGUAACAGAUUCAUAUGAAAAUAGUGAAGAAGAAGGUCCAAAGAUAGAACCCAUGCCUCAUAAUAAAAACAAGUGUCCUCCAGGUCAAAUGUCAGAUCGUCAUGGAAAUUGUAGAGAAGUGUACCGUAAAUAAGCAAUGGUUCGACUAAAGCAAGUUAGUGAUGUAAAGCAAAAAUUGGUAAACGAGAUAUUUAAACCUGCACGCAAGAAUUUUAAACGAAGACGUACUAUAAUUAAAGGAUUGGAUGAUUUAUGGCAAGUAGAUUUAGCAGAAAUGCAAAAUUUAUCUUAUCAUAAUAAUGGAUUUAAAUAUAUUUUAGUCGUAAUCGACUGUUUUUCUAAAUUUUUAUGGACCAGACCACUGAAAUCGAAAUCAGCUAAUGAGGUUAGCAGAGCUAUGGAAUCAAUACUAAAGAAUGAAAAAGAACGAAUACCAAAGAAUUUACAGUCAGAUCAAGGAAAGGAAUUUUAUAAUACCACUUUUCAGGAUUUGAUGAGACGUUAUAAUAUUAAUCACUAUAGUACGUACAGCGUUAAAAAAGCAGCAAUUGCUGAACGAGUUAUACGUACUUUAAAAUCAAAAAUUUAUCGAUAUUUUACGUUAUUUGCGACACAUAAAUGGAUAAAUAAAUUGCAAGAGAUAACCAAAAAUUAUAAUACUACAAUACAUCGAACAACAGGAAGGAAACCCACAGAGAUAAACGCUUCGAAUCAAGGAGACAUAACAGCAUAUGAUCAUCUAAAGAUUGUUGAUAAAAACAGAAAAAAAUUUAAAGUCGGAGAUUUCGUAAGAAUUAGCAAAGAAAAGAUGUUAUUUGAAAAAGGAUAUACACCCAAUUGGUCAACGGAAAUUUUUAAAAUCAGUAAGAUUAAUCUAACCAAUCCUGUAACAUUUCUACUAGAAGAUAAAGAAGGUCAACCAAUCAAAGGAGCUUUUUAUAUUUGGGAAUUAUCAAAAACUCAAUAUCCUGACGUCUAUUUAGUUGAAAAGGUGAUUCGACGUAAAGGAACUAAAUUAUUUGUGAAAUGGUUAGGUUUACCAGAUAAUCAGAAUAGUUGGAUUGAAAUGAAAGAUAUUACCUAAUAAAUAAGAAAUAUAUAUAUAUAUAUAUAUAUAUAUAUAUAUAUAUAUACAAUAUAAUUAUUUAACGUCUAAUUUAGUUCCAUUUAAGAUGGCAACGAGUGUAGAACCUGUUAUAAAAAAAGUGCUGCAUUUUGAAAAAACCAUAAGCGAUAUUCGAUUACUAAUGAAACUGGAACUACUGAAAUUAGGACCGUGCCAGUUGAUGGAUAUAUUUCAUAAAUUACCGGAAACAUAUCAACAAGAUCAUGAUAUAAAGCUGAAUCUACCAUGUUUACAACAUUAUUAUAACAGUUUUGACGAAGAUCAGUUUGAUGGUCCUCCUUCAUCAAUAAAUAAUUGUGUUUUGUGUAUUUUAGAUGAUACAGGAAGCCAACAACAACAACAACAACAACAACAACAACAACAACAACAACAACAACAACAACCCACUGCGUUUCAAGUGUAAUGCCUCUUUUGAACUCAUCACUCAUCUUAUUUGUUACUCUUAUACAAAAUGUGUUGUAUGUGCAAAAACCGCUAGAUGUUGUAGAUAUGUACAUCGUCUUCACUAGUGAAAGUCCUAACAACACAAGAUGGUCUCCUCUCUGGAAAAGUUUAUUUUUCAACGAUGUUGAUUACCAAUGGAAGAAGAUGAAUCUGGGUUAUUUGAGCAAUACUGCAAUAGAAAUAUUUAAAUAUGAAAAUGUUUCUACAGCAAACUCUGUAAUAUAUUUUAAAUUAAGACUAGUUUUUACCAAUAGUAAUUAUAUUGAUACUGAUUGGAAGAGACUUAUACUUAAUGAUCAUGAUGUAGUUUCAAUAAAAAAUUGUUUUAAUCAUGUUCCUACCUUUUUAGCAAUGUUUGGAAUUGUUUGUACAUGUUGGAUCGUUUUUAUGAUGUUCAUAGCGUUAGGUUUGGCUUAAAAACUGCAAUUAAAAAUUUAUUUAGGUGUAUGACUUUGUUAGUUUAAGUAUGUAGUUUGUUUUAUGUCUAAUAAAAAAUAAUAUUCAUUCUGAUUAUUUUUGUUAUCAUAUUUCCUGUCUAACGUUUUUUCCUUAAAAACGUUAAAUUUUUAUCAGUUAUAUUUCGAAUUUUUUGAAUUUUUACGUAAGAAACCACAAUAUCCGGUUGCAAAGUUUAUAGAAUAUAAAAUCAUAUCGCAUCAAUGAUUAAUUCAUUUCUACUUCGACUGUACGUGUAUGAAAGUAAUCAACCAAUCAUGUUCAAGUGCUCUCAAUGCGAUAACAAGUUUACUCGCAAAGAUGCUUUAACACGUCAUGUAAAAAAACAUAGUGAUAAAUUAUCUAAACUCACUUGCACCGGAUGUAAAACGUCAUUUACGAGAUUUGAUAACUAUAAGCGUCAUAUUACAAAUUCAUCAUUGUGUUCAAUGGAUUCGGAUGAUAUGACUCCUAAAAAAGCCCGCCUGACAACUAGAACACCUUUACAAGAAGUUACUACUAACGCUCCAUCAUGUUCAUUUCAUCAAUUUUGUGAAAUAUGCAAUAAUCACUACAGAGGAUCCAGAUUAAACCAUUUACGUUCUUUAAAACAUAAAAGUGUCAUCUCCGCCAAAAUUAAUGAUGAUGAUGAUUUCGUUGAAGAAUAUCAAGUUGCCUUCAAAUCAAGAAUUACCUCAUACCGAUUGAAAAAUUCACAACUAGAUGACUUGGAAGUGUGCAAUUUUUUUGAAAGAAAUCAAGAUAAACUUAUCACUUUAAUAACUAGAAAACUGAGAGAAUUUAACCAACUUAAAAUUAAUUUCGAACUUUUUGCUAAAUAUAUUUUACCUUCUAAAGACAUUAUCGAAAUCAAAUCAUUCAACACUAAAAAUAUCAUCAUUUCAAUAUCGACAAAUAUUAAGGUAGAACUGGAAGAAAUAUGUGGCGUCAUAAAAAACAAAAUGAGUGAAUUCUUGGAAAAAGAUAGUGGUUGGAUUUUAAUGGAAAUUUUGUUUUUGGAACUUAAUAUCAACAAAUUCAAUCCACUACGUGCAUCAACAUAUAUACCAUUACCGAAGGACAUAGUGAAGCGGAGAGCGGUUAUCAAUAUUCAUAAUGAUGAUAAUGAAUGUUUCAAAUGGUCUGUUUUGGCACACCUUCAUUCAACUGAAGUAAAUGUUAAUCGACAUCGAGUUGAUGCUUAUCGUGAGUUUGAAGAGGAAUUAGAUUUUACAGAUAUUUCAUUUCCGGUUAAAUUAACUGAUAUUUUUAAAUUUGAAGCACUUAAUAAUAUUAGUGUAAAUGUCUAUGGAACAGAGCAGCGUUUUGAUCAUGAAAAAGGUAAAUGGGUAUCAGAUAUUAUAGGUCCCUUUUAUUUAACUUCUAAGGAACGAGACAUUCAUGUAAAUUUAUUACUUAUCGUAGACGAUGAAAGAAUGAUCAAACAUUACUGUCUGAUAAGCAACAUUUCUCGAUUAAUAAGUUCACAACUUUCCAAACAUAAUCAUGCUAAAUUUAUAUGUAACGGUUGUCUAUUAUUUUUUUCGAGUGAACAAAAAUUAGUUAAACAUCGUAAGUAUGCUUGUAAUGAAGUUGUCACUACAUUACCAACUUCUGAUCUGAUUAUAAAUAAAUUUGGUAAAGAAGUGCCUGGUAAUGAAUUAACAUUUCAAAAUUUUGAUAAAUCUCUUAAAGUUCCUUUUGUAUUUUAUUUCGAUUUUGAAUCUAUUUUAAAACCUUUACGCAAUGAUAAUUCAGCCGAUAAUAUCCGUACAAUUGUUACACAUUUACAUGAACCAUAUAGUUUCGGAUAUUACAUAAAAUGUGCAUAUAAUGAUAAUUUAUCAAUAUAUCGGACUUAUCGAGGAAAAGAUGCUCCUGAAAUUUUUGUGAAAUGGUUGCAAGAUGAUGUAAAUAGACUUUAUCACGAUCACCUCAAACAUAUCGUACCACUUGAAAUGACUCCGUUAGAUGAAUUGGUUUUUCAAAUAUCUACCCAUUGUCAUUUAUGUAAAGAACCUUUCAAAACAGAUUACGGAAGUCUAAAUUGUGAUAGAGUUCGUAAUCAUUGUCACUUAACAGGUGAAUUUUUAGGACCUGCCCAUUCUAUUUGUAAUUUAAAUUAUAAGAUUCCAAAAUAUAUCCCUGUUUUUUGUCAUAAUUUAACUAAUUAUGAUAGUCAUUUAUUUAUUAAAGCUUUAGCAACAGAAAAGACCAUCAUUAAUUGCAUUGCUCAAACUAAAGAAAAGUAUAUUACAUUUUCAAAAAAAAUUUUAGUUGAUAAGGUCAUGAACACGACUACAAAUACAGUUGACAAUAUUUUUAUAACGCUUAGAUUCGUAGAUUCGUUCCGUUUCCUUUCUUUUUCAUUAGAUAAAUUAUCUCAGACUUUAACUUCUGAUGAAUGUCUAACCAUUCGGAAACACUUUUCGGACGAUAACCAAUUUAAUUUGAUAAGACAAAAAGGUGUUUUUCCAUAUUCAUAUUUGGAUUGUUUUAAUAAGUUAGAUGAUACCAAUUUACCAUUGAUUCAACAAUUUUAUGAUAAUCUUAAUAAAACUGAUAUCAGUGAACAUGAUUAUGAGCGAGCACAGGAAGUCUGGAAUCUAUUUGAUUGCAAAACGUUAGGUGAUUAUUCCAACAUUUAUUUAAAGUCUGAUGUUUUGUUACUUACAGACAUUUUUGAAAAUUUCAGAAAGGUUUGUCUCAAAAUUUAUGAACUAGAUCCAGCUCAUUACUUAACAGCACCUUCAUUAGGCUGGGAUGCUAUGUUAAAAAUGACUGGAAUUAAAUUCGAAUUGUUAACUGAUAUAGACAUGGUACAUUUCUUUCGAAAAUCUAUUAGAGGAGGACUUUGUCAAUGUUCAAAACGUAAAGCAGUAGCAAAUAAUAAGUUUUUAUCAAAUCAUGAUCCUUCUAAACCAACUUCUUUUAUAAUGUACCUUGAUGCAACCAACUUGUAUGGAGCAGCAAUGUCUGAAUAUUUACCUUAUAGCGGUUUUCGAUGGGAAGAUCCUAAUGAAUUCAAUGAUAACCUAAUUCUCAAUUUGACAGAUAACGCUGAUGUAGGUUAUAUAUUCGAAGUUGAUUUAGAAUAUCCUUCUGAAUUACAUAAUCUUCACAACGAUUUACCAUUUUGUCCUGAAAAAUUUAUUCCUCCCUCUAGUAAAACUGAGAAACUUUGCGCAACCUUAAACAAUAAAGUACACUAUGUUUUACAUUAUCGAAAUUUAAGACAAGCUAUACAAGGUGGUUUAAAAUUAAUUAAUAUUCACCGUGUUUUAAGUUUUAAUCAAUCACCAUGGUUGAAAACAUAUAUUGAUUUAAAUACAGAAAUGCGUAACAAAUCAAAAAACGCGUUAGAAAAAGAUGUAUUUAAAUUAAUGAAUAAUUCAGUUUUUGGUAAAACCAUGGAAUCAAUUGAUAAAAGAGUAAACGUGAAAUUGGUAACAUCAUGGAAUAAUAUAGGUAGAAAACCAGGUGCUGAAAGUUUAAUUGCACGACCAAAUUUUAAAAAUUCAUCUAUCUUUACACCAAAUUUUGUAGCUAUUCAAUUAGAGAACGAAAAAGUUUUCUACAAUAAACCUCUGUAUGUAGGUUUUACUAUUCUAGAUAUCAGUAAAACUAUUAUGUAUGAUUUUUAUUAUAAUUUCAUAAAACUUAAAUACGGUAACAAUGCAACGCUUUUGUAUACCGAUACUGAUAGUUUAGUAAUUGAAAUUUUUUGUGAAAAUAUUUAUGAUGAUAUUAAAUCUAAUAUAGAGCGUUUUGAUACUUCAAAUUAUAAAGCAGAAAAUAUUCAUGGAAUACCUGUAUCGUCUUCUGUCAUCGGGAAGAUGAAAGAUGAAUAUAAAGGACGUGUAAUAUCAGAAUUUUUAGGAACAGGUGCUAAAGCAUAUUGUGUGGAUGUUGAAGGUGAAUUAUCUAAAAAAGCUAAGGGUAUUAAACACAAUGUAAUUACAAGUGAAUUACAUAAAAUUGACUACCAAAACGCAGUUACUGUUCCAAACACUGAAAUUAUUAAAGAAAUGAAUAUCUUUCGUUCGAAGCUUCAUAACAUUUACACAGAAUUAAAGAAAAAAAUUGCUUUAUCUUUCAAAGAUGAUAAACGUUACAUCUUAAACAAUUCUGAAGGUAGAACAUUAUCUUGGGGUCAUAAAAAUAUUCCUCCUCAAACUCAGGAAUAAUAUUUAAUUUGUAUUGUAGUUAUUGUAUUAUAAUGUUUAUGUAUUAUAAUAUGUAUGUAUGUAUGUAUGCAUGUACUUAUAUUUAGAUGUAAUAAACAAUUAAAGUAAUUUAUUGUUUUUAUUAUUAUCCAUUAACCAAAUAGCUUAUGUAAAUU